UACGUAGGGUGCGAGCGUUGCCCGGAUUUAUUGGGCGUAAAGGGCGCGUAGGCGGCUCGACACGUUCGUUGUGAAAUCGCCCGGCUCAACUGGGCGGGGUCAGCGAAUACGGUCGAGCUUGAGCAAGCUAGGGGGCAAUGGAAUUCCCGGUGUAGUGGUGGAAUGCGUAGAUAUCGGGUGGAACACCAGUGGCGAAGGCGGUUGCCUGGGGCUUUGCUGACGCUGAUGCGCGAAAGCGUGGGGAGCGAUCCGG
rnacentral:rRNA from 1 species